AUGGCUUUUCGGUCUUUGGGUUAAGUUCAAGCGUGAGAUCUAUUCUUAUCAGUUUGAUAUCUGAUAUGCUCUGUAAAUGAAAGCAACUUUUUUUUUUCUUCCACUGCUGUAAGGAGCAUUGAAAAAUAUUUUUUAUUUAUCAAGUUGCUCAGAUUUUCAACAGAUGUUCCUGGACCCGGGAUUUGUUCUGCUAAC